rnacentral:tRNA from 1 species
GUGUCAAUAGUUCAAUGGUAGAACAAGAGUUUUGUAAACUUUUAAUGUCGGUUCAAUUCCGACUUGGCACU